rnacentral:sRNA from 1 species
GGGGGGUAUGCGGAAGGAUCAUUACCGAGUGUAGGGUUCCUAGCGAGCCCAACCUCCCACCCGUGUUUACUGUACCUUAGUUGCUUCGGCGGGCCCGCCAUUCAUGGCCGCCGGGGGCUCUCAGCCCCGGGCCCGCGCCCGCCGGAGACACCACGAACUCUGUCUGAUCUAGUGAAGUCUGAGUUGAUUGUAUCGCAAUCAGUUAAAACUUUCAACAAUGGAUCUCUUGGUUCCGGCAUCGAUGAAGAACGCAGCGAAAUGCGAUAACUAGUGUGAAUUGCAGAAUUCCGUGAAUCAUCGAGUCUUUGAACGCACAUUGCGCCCCCUGGUAUUCCGGGGGGCAUGCCUGUCCGAGCGUCAUUGCUGCCCAUCAAGCACGGCUUGUGUGUUGGGUCGUCGUCCCCUCUCCGGGGGGGACGGGCCCCAAAGGCAGCGGCGGCACCGCGUCCGAUCCUCGAGCGUAUGGGGCUUUGUCACCCGCUCUGUAGGCCCGGCCGGCGCUUGCCGAACGCAAAUCAAUCUUUUCCAGGUUGACCUCGGAUCAGGUAGGGAUACCCGCUGAACUUAAGCAUAUCAAUAACCGGAGGAAGUU